AUUGGAGCCCAAUGUGGCCGACCCGUGGCUUGUGACGUUCCACUUCUUUUUAAGUCUACCCUUUGAUGUGUAUAUAUGACAUACGAUGUGUUUAUAACGUUGUAUGUACCCACGGUUACGCCUACGGCUACGAUGGAUAGCAUACAACUAUAAUUGUACCUCCUCCGUGUAUACAAACAACUAAGACAAAGACCCAACCGGGAACUCCCCCUCUCCUUUCGUUUGAAGUCGUACGAAGUCCAUCUCGUGUAGGCACGAACCAAAAUGAAGUAAUCAUCGACCGUAAGCUAAAGACGAGAAACCGACCGUUACCAAGUCACGGGUGUGAUGUGAAGUCAAGACCCCUAAAAUAUGUACCACAGUUGUGUUAAGAGGCCAUGUAACGUGCACGACGUAAACAAAGGUCGAAGAUACAGGUCCUGCUAUAAGUCCGUCGUGUUCAACUGGUUACCGAGUUCAUGCGUGGUUGAGUAAGAGAGCCCGAGACUUAAACUUAGACGAACGAGUAAAGAACUACCUAUGAACCGUUGAGCUUGGAAAAAACAACUAAUACCAGAUAGUUAACGACUGUAACAGUACACCAGUUUAGAGUGUCCAGUGGUACCAACAAGGUAACAGUAUAGUAAGUAGUAUACGACGACAAAUCGUAGUGUUUUCUUCUUCCGGUCUGAGAACGGAAGGGACGGUUACGAAGGAGGACGGUACGAUCGGUACACACGGGAGUGGAAACAAGUAGUUAAGCACGCGUCAGGUCUUUAAGAACCUUUAAGAGGACAACGACAAUAUUAACGUUUACGAUGUAGACUUCCUCGCCGACAUCGACCACUACUUCUCUCCGUGAAGCGUAAACGGGUGGUCUUCAUGUCUAGCCAUUUCAUAUCUCUUCGAAGUCUCGUACCGUCGUAACAAAUACUCUUCCAGGUGCUGUUUGACUAUUGGAUGAAGAAGAACCUCAAUAGAUGAUAGUCAAAUACU
rnacentral:rRNA from 1 species